rnacentral:rRNA from 1 species
GACGAACGCUGGCGGCGUGCCUAAUACAUGCAAGUAGAACGCUGAAGGAGGAGCUUGCUCUUCUGGAUGAGUUGCGAACGGGUGAGUAACGCGUAGGUAACCUGCCUGGUAGCGGGGGAUAACUAUUGGAAACGAUAGCUAAUACCGCAUAACAGUAGAUGUUGCAUGACAUUUGCUUAAAAGGUGCAAUUGCAUCACUACCAGAUGGACCUGCGUUGUAUUAGCUAGUUGGUGGGGUAACGGCUCACCAAGGCGACGAUACAUAGCCGACCUGAGAGGGUGAUCGGGCAACCUGGGAAUGGGACACGGCCCAGACUCCUACGGGGGGCAGCAGUAGGGAAUCUUCGGCAAUGGACGGAAGUCUGACCGAGCAACGCCGCGUGAGUGAAGGAGGUUUUCGGAGCGUAAAGCUCUGUUGUAAGAGAAGAACGAGUGGGAGAGUGAAAAGUUCACGCUGUGACGGUAUCUUACCAGAAAGGGACGGCUAACUACGUG